rnacentral:tmRNA from 1 species
GGGGUCGUUAUGGAUUCGACAGGUAUAGGUUGAAUUCAGGCUGCGUUUCGUAGCGAGAAUCUACGUAAAAAGUCUCACCUAAAUUUUUAACUGCAAAUAACAGUUCAAAAUCUCUUGCAUUAGCUGCCUAAUAAGCGCUAAGUAAGGAUCCGCCUGACUUCGCCCAUGGGUCAGAUACGGGUCUUAAAUUAAGUGGGCUUACGCAGUAAAUUCCCAUCUGAAGUUUACUGAAGAGACUAAUCAGGUUAGUUGAUCAUGUUUGGCCCUGACAGGCGGCGAAUUGAUCGGCGAAAUUUAAAUUGUCUGGCUAUAAGCGUAGAGGUUUGGAUGGCAAUAUGCUUGGACGCGGGUUCGACUCCCGCCGACUCCAUUA